UACGAAGGGGGCUAGCGUUGCUCGGAAUCGACUAGGGCGUAAAGGGUGCGUAGGCGGGUCUUUAAGUCAGGGGUGAAAUCCUGGAGCUCAACUCCAGAACUGCCUUUGAUACUGAGGAUCGUUGAGUUGGGAGAGGUGAGUGGAACUGCGAGUGUAGAGGUGAAAUUCGUAGAUAUUGGGAAGAACACCGGUGGCGAAGGCGGCUACACUGGCUCGUAACUGACGCUCAUGCACGACGAGCGUGGGGAUCAAACAGG
rnacentral:rRNA from 1 species